rnacentral:rRNA from 1 species
CGAGCAGGUGCGAAAGCAGGACUUAGUGAUCAGGUGGUUCUGAAUGGAAGGGCCAUCGCUCAACGGAUAAAAGGUACUCCGGGGAUAACAGGCUGAUACCGCCCAAGAGUUCAUAUCGACGGCGGUGUUUGGCACCUCGAUGUCGGCUCAUCACAUCCUGGGGCUGAAGUAGGUCCCAAGGGUAUGGCUGUUCGCCAUUUAAAGUGGUACGCGAGCUGGGUUUAGAACGUCGUGAGACAGUUCGGUCCCUAUCUGCCGUGGGCGCUGGAGAAUUGAGGGGGGCUGCUCCUAGUACGAGAGGACCUGA